rnacentral:rRNA from 1 species
UACGUAGGGACCGAGCGUUGUCCGGAAUCAUUGGGCGUAAAGAGCGUGUAGGCGGCCACUUAAGUCCUGCGUGAAAUCUUGCGGCUCAACCGCAAGCGGUCGUGGGAAACUGGGUGGCUAGAGUGCGGGAGAGGAGAGUGGAAUUCCUGGUGUAGCGGUGGAAUGCGCAGAUAUCAGGAAGAACACCCGUGGCGAAGGCACCAUCCUGGGAAGCAUCUGACGCUCAGGUGCGAAAGCUAGGGGAGCGAACGGG